ensembl:lncRNA
GGCCUAAAAAAGCUCCUCUGGUGUCUUCUCAUAAUACACACCUUCAAAGAGUAAAUAGGGCAAUGUAUUGUUAUCUUGGCUGUGGAAACCAUCCCCAAGGUGUGAUUGCAUCGUGUCCAGAGCCAGGGGGUCAGAAAUAAAUGGAUGUGAGGUGAGCUGGAACAGGAGAUGGGUGGGCCCUGGAACCUGGAACCUAAGACCCAGAGUGCCACUGAUGGAAGGAGGUUCUCCUUAGGAUAAACUCCCACAAGGAGGAGUUACUGGAGCAUUGUCGUCUAAAAACGGACCUUAGAAAUCUAUGGGGGAGAGAAAUAUGGCUGAGAGUCUUGUUCCAGAGAAUUCACACAACAAAAAUGCCUGGAAACCUAUGCUGUGUUGGGAGACUAAUAGAGACUGCUUGGAAUGAAAAGAUUUUCAAAAGAAUCUAGCCUAGUGGGAAAACAGACUGACACUUAAGCCAAUAAUUACAACAGUGAAAUGAAAUUCCUAAGAAAAUGAACAAGGUACCUCAAAAAAAGGAUAAAGAAGGCAAUUAAAUUUGAGUAAGAGAAAUGGAGGAAGAACUAAUAGAGAAAGCAACAGUUGAGCUGGUUCAUCCUUAAAGAGGUAAGUGUCCUAUUUGAUUGGACUGUCGAAGUACCACAGAGUGAGUAGCUCAAACAACAAACGAUUAUGUUUGCACAGUUCUGAAGGCUGAAAGUCUGAGGUCAAGGUAUCAGCACCAAAAUGGAUCCUUCGGAGGGAAGGAUCAUUUCCUAGCCACUCUCUUUGGCUUGUAGAUAAUCAUCUUGUGUGUUCACAUGGUAUUUUCUCCCUCUGUGCCUGGGUCCACAUUUCUUCUUCUGAGGAUGCUGGUCAUAUUAGAUUAGUUUUACCCUAAUGAUCUCAUUUUAAUUUAAUUAACUUUAUUGGCUUUAUCUCUAAAUACAGUCAAAUUCUAAGUACUGGGUAUGGGACUUCAACAUGACCAUUUUAGGAGAUGGUGGUGGCAAGGGCCCAGAGACCAUUCAGGCUGUUACAGAGAGGGAAUGGAGAAAUACUUGUAGAAAGGUCCAGGGUCAGGAAUGGGUGCUGUAUAGUCGGGGAAUAUCAAGGAAGCCUGGUUGGAAAAUCUGGGAGCUUGAAAAAUGGAAAAGGAAUCGUGGUGGAAGAUAUGUCUGUG